rnacentral:rRNA from 1 species
UUGCCGAUAGCAAUAUUAGCAAGUUCUAGUGGCGAAAGGGUGCGUAACACGUAGCUUACCUGCCUCGAAGUGGGGGAUAGCUCGCCGAAAGGUGAAUUAAUACCGCAUGUGGUCGAGAGACCAAAGCUGGGGAUUCUUCGGAACCUGGCGCUUUGAGAUGGGGCUGCGGCCUAUCAGCUAGUUGGUGAGGUAACGGCUCACCAAGGCUCAGACGGGUAGCUGGUCUGAGAGGACGAUCAGUCACACUGGAACUGAGACACGGUCCAGACACCUACGGGUGGCAGCAGUCGAGGAUUUUUCACAAUGGGGGAAACCCUGAUGGAGCGACGCCGCGUGGGGGAUGACGGCCUUCGGGUUGUAAACCCCUGUCAUCCGGGAGUAAAGCUCAGUGGUUAAUACCCGCUGGGUUGAUAGUACCGGAAGAGGAAGCAGUGGCUAACUCCGUGCCAGCAGCCGCGGUAAUACGGAGACUGCAAGCGUUGUUCGGAUUCAUUGGGCGUAAAGGGUCCGUAGGCGGUCAGCCAAGUCGGAUGUGAAAUUCCCGAGCCCAACUCGGGUAGGUCAUUCGAAACUGGUUGACUAGAGGACUGGAGAGGAGACUGGAAUUGUCGGUGUAGCGGUGAAAUGCGUAGAGAUCGACAAGAACACCU